AAACAGUAUCAUUCUGUGAUAACAGUGUCCGAUGGGGUUUCAAACAUGCAUCAUCUCUGUGUUCUACUUUGGGGGCUUUUUGUUUCCUGUCACUGUGAUUCCAGAGAUCCCUUUUUUGUGAGUCAGUUUCCGUCCACGCUCGUGCUGAGAAGAGGACAACAGGUUCAGAUCCGCUGCAGCUGGAACAUUAGCAUCACCAGCGCAAAAGUGAAAUGGUUUAAAGACUACCGCACCUUGACGUUGAGCCGAACCGACAGCGUCAUUCAUACACAAGCCAGCGAACACGAUUCAGCCUUAGUUAUAAAAAACGCUGAUUUACAUGACGCAGGAUUUUAUGAGUGUGAAGUUACACAAGACAUACCUCAGCUGUCGAAGGUGAACGGAACGGGGACAAACGUCACAUUUCAGACAGAAACUGAGCCUGUGACUACCGUCAAACCCGUUUCUACUGCCUCACCCAGUACAGACCAGCCUGUUACUACUACAAAACCAGUGUCUACUGCCUCACCUAAUAUCAUAUGGGCUGCGGAAGAAGUUUAUGACAACGAACCCAUCAUAUUUGUGGUUCGAUGUGUGCCCUUCAUCAUGUUACUGCUGGCUGUGUUCUUUCUGAACAGAGGCAAAAAGAAUAAAAGACCAAGAGCAGGUCCACAAACAGCAGAAAAGGAAGACUUAGUCGUGGAGGAGGAGAACGAACAAAAAGGACGAGAUCAACUCGGACAAGAAAGAAACGAAGAAUAGAGGGAUAGACAACUAGGACAGGAAAGAGGAGUGGAAACUGAGAAGGAAUUAACGGCAGAGGAAGGAGACGUGAAAUAGAGAGCUGAGCAAACACAGGGAAGAGAAGUGGACGUGGUGAAAGAUUAACAGGACAAGAAAGAGACUUGAACAAGAGAAGUGAGGAAUUGAAUUAAUGUGUUGAAUUAGCAGAUUCAUGUAAGUGCUAGAAAUCAUGAUUCUUUAAACAACACCCUCGUCCGGAGGGAGGGUCGGAAACAAUGCACUAGCUUGUUUAUUGGCAACUCAUGUGGUAGUAUAACACAUACUGAAAACAAUAACUAACCACAGAGGCUCACAUGUAUGCAAAUUAGUGUUCCUUAUACAGAAGGAAGUCGCCUCAAGAGUCAGUCGGUCCAGUGUCCCAACAACCCAAACUGCAACACAAAACAUUUACGUCUCAGUCCAGGAUAAAGGCUUUAAUGUGCAGUGGUAGCCAGCAGUACAGAGUCUCUUGCAGGUUUCUUGCACCUGGCGUAGCUGCUCUUUGAUAAAGUCUUGAACAGCCUUGUUGUUCAGUGAGGCCUGUGCACAACUUGGGCUGUUCUUACAUAGACUUCUAACAUUCACAGCAAUGGCAAAGCUCCUCAGCACAAGGAAUGGGAGCCUCCGUCCCGACCCCUUUCACCCCCCGUCCCUUUUCCUCUAUACUGCUAUCGCCGAGUUUAGAGGUAAGGCCCGGGCAGAUGUGCUGGCAUUGUAGUGAGCUGGGACAUUUCCCAGACUAAUGCGCAUGUUGGAGUUGGAGUCAGUGAUCCAGAUUCACACAGACACCAUUGAUUUCACCCCACUCAAGUUUGGACAUACUGCAUACUUUAGCUGUGAGCAUUCUAGGGGGAACAUAACACACAUUACUGGAUUCAAUUUGGCUUAAACCUUUGUUAUUUGAAGUGUGAGAGUUCCUGCAAACCUCCAGUGGGUUUUCCCCAUUUAAAUGACUAUACGGGCUCUCAGAAGCACUCAGAACUCCAACCUGAUCAAGGGUGUGGUCAGUGCAGGGCAACACAUAGCAGUCCUGCUUGGUGAUGGCAUGGAGGUGGCAGUAAUCCACACAGAACCCCAAGAUGCUAUUCUUGACUAGUACAGCUCGGACCACCCAGUGUCUAUUCAAUGGCUCAAUCAUCUCAUUUACCUUUGGCUCUGCCAUUUGCUUCUUCUCCAACGGGUCUGUAGUGCGAUGGGGUGGGCGUGGGGGGUCCCUCGAGUGGUCUUGUCUACCACCUUGUGCUCUCUCCCUUGUCCGUGUCAGUUGUGGAUGAAAGGAGCAGUCAAAAUGAACAGGAAAUGAGUUAUUGUGUUAUUAACUGCAGCUUACUUGUAUGCUUCUAUCAGUAGACUGCCAGUGACCAAAGAGAGACGACAGCAGGAAGAGAGACGAAGAAAGACUAGUGGAUGAGAUUAUGAUUGGUUUAGUGGUUAGUGUGAGCCAGACUGUGCUCUGUUUUGAAAGUGUGCACUAUUUUGUGUAUUUUUGUACCCAAAGUAAAGAUAAAAAGAGCUCUCAACUCAUACACCUGUUUCUUCCCGUGUUCUUAGAGUAAAAAACGUCAUUCUUGGUUGUACAUAAAAUAAAUCUGGGGUUAUUUUGUUUGUGUGUUUGUACAAAACUGUAUUAAAUGUGUCUGACAAACAGGAACAAAACUCAGCCAUGAUCAAGACUCUUAGUGUUUUGUGGUCAGCGUUGAGGCCCAGGGUAUGAGCAUGUGUGACUGUGAAGGUGUUUGUAUUACAUCUUUUGUAUUGCGUAUGUAUGUGUGUGUGCAUGUGUGUGUGGGGGGGGGUGUGUGUGUGUGAGAUGGCCUGUGUGAGAUGAAACGAUAUUGCUGUGUGAUAUCAGAGUUUGAUGGGCUUUCAAACAUGCAGCAUCUCAUUCUUCUACUUGGGGGGCUUUUUGUUUCCUGUGCCAUUGGUCCCAGUGUUGGUUUUUUCGUGAGUCAGUCUCCAUCCACAGUCAAGCUGUGGAGAGGAGAACCAGUUCAGGUCACCUGCAGCUGGAACAUCAGCAUCAGUGGAGUAAAAGUGGCAUGGUUUAAAGACAAUCAGAGAGUUGAAUUUAAGCAAACUGAUAAAUUCACAGAAACCAACAACAACAACAACACCAGUUCAACAUUAGUUAUAAAUAACACUGAUAUAAAUGAUGCAGGGUUUUAUAUUUGUCAAGUUAUACAGGACAUACCUCGCCUGGUUACGGUAAACGGAACGGGGACAAACGUUACAUACGAGAGGGAAAAUGAGCCUACUACAGAGCGACUCGUUUCUACUACCUCACCCCAUAUAAAGCGUAAGUAACAUAUAUAAAUACAUACUCUGACCAGCCAUAAUAUUAUAGCCCUCUGCCUAAUAUUGUGUAGGUCCUCCUCUCCUUGUGCUCGCAAAACAGCUCUGAGUCUUCAAGAUAUGGACUCCACAAGACCUCUGAAGGUGUGCUGUGGUUUCUGGCAGCAAGAUGUUAGCAGCAGAUCCUUUAAGUCCUGUAAGUUGUGAGGUCGGGCCUCAGUGGAUCGGACUUGUUUGUCCAGAACAUCCCACAGACGCUCGAUCAGAUUGAGAUCUGGGGAAUUUGAAGUCCAAGUCAACAUCUUGAACUCUUUGUCAUGUUCUUCAAACCGUUCCCGAACAAUGUUUGCAGUGUGUCAGGACACAUUUUCCUGCUGAAGGAGGCUGCUGCCAUUAGGGAACACCGUUACCAUGAAGGGGUGUACUCGGUCUGCAGCAGUGUUUAGGUAGGUGGUACGUGUCAAAGUAACAUCCACAUGAAUGCCAGCACCCAAUCAUUCCCAGCAGAACAUUGCGCAGAGCAUCAUACUUCCUCCACCAGCUCACCUUCUUCCCAUCGUGCAUCCUGGUGCCGUCUCUUCCCCAGGUAAGCAACGCACACGCACCCGGCCUACACGUGAUGUAAAAGUAAACCAGGCCACCUUCUUCCAUCGCUCCAUGGUCCAUGUCUGAUGCCCAUUGUAGGAGAUUUUGGAGGUGUACAGGGGGUUGGGCACUCUGACCACUCUGCAGCUACGCAGCUCCAUACACAGCAAGCUGUGAUGCUCUGUGUGUUCUGACUCCUCUCUAUCAGAUCCAGCAUGAACUUUUUCAGCAGUUUGUGCUACAGUAGCUCUUCUGUGGUAUCAGACCAGCCGUCGCUCCUCACGCGCAUCAGUGAGCCUUGGAUGCCCAUGACCCUGUCACUGGUUCACCGUUGUCCUUCCUUGGACCACUUUGGUAGCUACUAACCACUGCAUAUAUGCAUAUUCCCGGUAUACCGGGAACACCCCGCAAGACCUGCCUUUUUGGAGAAGCUCUGACCCAGACAUCUAACCAUCACAAUUUCUUCCUUGUCAAAGUCGGCCAGAUCCUUACUUUGCACAUUUUUCCUACUUCUAACAUGUCAACUCUGAGAACUGACUGUUCACUUGCUGCCUACUAAAUAUGCCCCCCCCCCCCCCCCCCCCCCCCGACAGGUGCCACUGUAACAGUAUAAUCAAUGUUAUUCCCUUCACCUGUCAGUGGUUUGAAUGCUAUGUCUGAUCAAUGUACAUAAAUGUAUCAUAUUUUACUCACUCACGUAUGAAUGUAUAAUAUAAAAAUUAAUUACAUAAUAACAAAACAUACACAGUAUUUCUGCUGGUAUAUUAGUAUUAGUAAUAGUACUGUUAGUGUUAUAUUAUUAGUAUAUAUUACUAUACAGUAGUAUUUACAGUAGUAUAGUGUUGUACUAAACCCGGAAGUGAGUAGCUAUGACCUCCACCUUCUACAUCCCCCCUCCCCCCUGGCCUGUAGACCUUUGUGUACUAAUAAAGCUGCAAUCUCAGAUAUUUGUAAUAAUAUGAUAUUUUUAUUGUCGUAACCAGAUCGUGACAGACCGGACUCUCGCUCGAGCCCCGGUACAGAACAGGCUGAAAAUGAUGGACUAAUCGUUUUUGCAAUCCGAUGUGUGCCCUUCGUCACGUUACUGCUGGCCGUGUGUUUUCUUAGCAGAGAUAACAAAAAAUACAAACGGCCAAGAUCAGAUGGCAGAAGAACAAGCUUUAGUCAUAGAGGAGGAGAAUGAACAAAUGGGACAAGAACAAGAAAGAGAAGAAAAAUCUGGACCCAAUGAGAGGGAUGAACAAUCGGGACAAGAAGGAAAAGUGGAAGAGAGGGAUGAACAAUCAGGACAAGAAGGAGAAGUGGAAGAGAGGGAUGAACAAUCAGGACAAGAAGGAGAAGUGGAAGAGAGGGAUGAACAAUCAGGACAAGAAGGAGAAGUGGAAGAGAGGGAUGAACAAUCAGGACAAGAAGGAAAAGUGGAAGAGAGGGAUGAACAAUCAGGACAAGAAGGAAAAGUGGAAGAGAGGGAUGAACUAUCAGGACAAGAACAAAAAUUGGAGAUGGUGAAUGAAUUAACAGGAAAUGAAAGAGAAGUGGAAGAGGGGGAUGACCAAUUGGGACAAGAAAGAGAGGGAUGAACAAACGAGACAAGAACGAAAAGUGGAGAUGGUGAAUGAAUUAACAGGAAAAGAACUAGUAGUGGAAGAGAGGUAUAAACAAACGAGGCAAAGAAAAGAAGUGAAACGUGAAUGAAUUAACGGGAAAAGAAAGAGACUUGAAUGAAUGUGUUGGAUAGUUUAUAAUUCAGCAGGUAAAGGUAAAUGCUGGUUUUCUACAUGCUAGAUUUCGUGAUUAUUUAAUUACACAUUCACAAAUUUACAUUUACAUUUAUUUAUUUAGCAGACGUCUUUAUCCAACACGACUAUUAAAUGAGGAAAUACAAGCAAAGCGAUAUAUCAAGCGGAGAAGUAGUUCAACCAUACAAGUAGUGCUACUAUACAAGAUUUAUCAUUGAGUGCUAGAGGAGUAAGCUACACAGAGUAGAGGUGUAAGAGCCAGAGUAAGUGCAGAAUUUUUAGGGG